rnacentral:rRNA from 1 species
GUUAUAUAGUCAAGUGAUUAAGCGUACACGGUGGAUGCCUUGGCAGCCAGAGGCGAUGAAGGACGUUGUAGCUUGCGAUAAGCUUCGGGGAGGUAGCAAACAACCUUUGAUCCGGAGAUUUCCGAAUGGGGAAACCCACCUGUCAUAAGGCAGGUAUCGCA